rnacentral:rRNA from 1 species
AGCAGCCGCGGUAAUUCCAGCUCCAAUAGCGUAUACUAAAGUUGUUGCAGUUAAAAAGCUCGUAGUUGAAUUUCGGGGUUAGUAGGUUGGUCAUGCCUCUGGUAUGUACUGGCCUCACUGAUUCCUCCUUCCUGAUGAACCGUAAUGCCAUUAAUUUGGUGUUGCGGGGAAUUUGGACUGUUACUUUGAAAAAAUUGAGUGUUUAAAGCAAGCUAACGCUUGAAUACAUUAGCAUGGAAUAAUGAAAUAGGACGUUCGAUCCUAUUUUGUUGGUUUCUAGGAUUGACGUAAUGAUUAAUAGGGAUAGUUGGGGGCAUUAGUAUUCAAUUGUCAGAGGUGAAAUUUCUUAGGAUUUAUUGAAGUACUAACUACUGCGAAAGCAUUUGCCAAGGAUGUUUCAUUAAUCAAGAACGAAAGUUAGGGAUACGAAG